GCCCCUGAGGAAUUUGGUAAUGUCCAUUAGUUACCUGACAUCCGGAGCCCUGGCAAAUUCACUCUCUUUCACAGAGUUUCAAGCCAGGUUUGAUGGGAGAUCCCCCCGUCCACACACUGUGCAGGACACCGGAAGUAGAGGUCUGCCAGCCUGCUUAUUCCCGUCCUCAGUGCCCAGAACUGAGCAGGUCACCAACCUACAGUGCCUACCCCUACCCUUCUUCCGGCGAGAUGUGAAAACGGAGACCCAGAGAAGGGAAACAGUUGAAUCUUGUCCUGGAGUUACUUUUGUUCCUGGAUUUGGGGAAUUCCUGGGAACACCAGAAAAUGUAGACCAUUCUCUAAGUCCCAAAGCCAUGGAGGAGGUGAAGGAAGACAUUUCAGAGAUGUCAGUGCCAUGA
rnacentral:lncRNA from 1 species